rnacentral:misc_RNA from 1 species
AACUUUUGGCAACGGAUCACUUGGUUCUGGCAUCGAUGAAGAACGCAGCGAAAUGCGAUAAGUAUUGUGAAUUGCAGAAUUCAGUGAAUCAUCGAAUCUUUGAACGCACAUUGCGCCCCUUGGUAUCCCGAGGGGCAUGCCUGUUCGAGCGUCAUUUCACCACUCAAGCCUGGCUUGGUGUUGGGCGACGUCCCCUUUGGGGACGCGCCUCGAAACGCUCGGCGGCGUGGCACCGGCUUUAAGCGUAGCAGAAUCUUUCGCUUUGAAGGUCGGGGCCCCGUCUGCCGGAAGACCUACUCGCAAGGUUGACCUCGGAUCAGGCAGGGAUACCCGCUGAACUUAAGCAUAUCAAUAAGCGGAGGCU